rnacentral:rRNA from 1 species
AACGAACGCUGGCGGCAGGCCUAACACAUGCAAGUCGAACGCUGUAGCAAUACAGAGUGGCAGACGGGUGAGUAACGCGUGGGAACAUGCCCUUCGGUUCGGAAUAACUCAGAGAAACUUGAGCUAAUACCGGAUACGCCCUUAGGGGGAAAGAUUUAUUGCCGAAGGAUUGGCCCGCGUCCGAUUAGCUAGUUGGUGAGGUAAUGGCUCACCAAGGCGACGAUCGGUAGCUGGUCUGAGAGGAUGAUCAGCCACACUGGGACUGAGACACGGCCCAGACUCCUACGGGAGGCAGCAGUGGGGAAUAUUGGACAAUGGGCGCAAGCCUGAUCCAGCCAUGCCGCGUGGGUGAUGAAGGCCCUAGGGUUGUAAAGCUCUUUCGCCAGGGACGAUAAUGACGGUACCUGGAUAAGAAGCCCCGGCUAACUUCGUGCCAGCCGCCGCUGUAAGAC